rnacentral:tRNA from 1 species
GGUGGCUCAGUGGUAGAGCUCUUGCCUUGCAUGCAUGAGGUCCUGGGUUCGAUUCCCCAGCACCA